rnacentral:rRNA from 1 species
UACGAAGGGGGCUAGCGUUGUUCGGAAUUACUGGGCGUAAAGGGCGCGUAGGCGGCGUGACAAGUCACUUGUGAAAUCUCCGGGCUUAACUCGGAACGGUCAAGUGAUACUGUCGUGCUAGAGUACAGAAGGGGCAACUGGAAUUCUCGGUGUAGCGGUGAAAUGCGUAGAUAUCGAGAGGAACACCUGCGGCGAAGGCGGGUUGCUGGGCUGAUACUGACGCUGAGGCGCGAAAGCCAGGGGAGCGAACGGG